UAACCUGCCCAAGAGAUCGGGAUAACACCUGGAAACAGAUGCUAAUACCGGAUAACAACAGAUGAUGCCUAUCAACUGUUUAAAAGAUGGUUCUGCUAUCACUCUUGGAUGGACCUGCGGUGCAUUAGCUAGUUGGUAGGGUAACGGCCUACCAAGGCGAUGAUGCAUAGCCGAGUUGAGAGACUGAUCGGCCACAUUGGGACUGAGACACGGCCCAAACUCCUACGGGAGGCAGCGUG
rnacentral:rRNA from 1 species